CCUACGGGUGGCAGCAGUGAGGAAUAUUGGUCAAUGGGCGAAAGCCUGAACCAGCCAUGCCGCGUGCAGGAAGACGGCUCUAUGAGUUGUAAACUGCUUUUGUACGAGGGUAAACACAGAUACGUGUAUCUGCUUGAAAGUAUCGUACGAAUAAGGAUCGGCUAACUCCGUGCCAGCAGCCGCGGUAAUACGGAGGAUCCAAGCGUUAUCCGGAUUUAUUGGGUUUAACGGGUGCGUAGGCGGUUUAGUAAGUCAGCGGUGAAAUUUUGGGGCUCAACCCCAGAAGGGCCGUUGAUACUGCUGGGCUAGAGAAUGGUUGAGGUAGGCGGAAUGCAUGGUGGAGCGGUGAAAUGCUUAGAGAUCACACAGAACACCGAUUGCGAAGGCAGCUUACCAAACUAUAACUGACGUUGAGGCACGAAAGCGUGGGGAGCAAACAGGAUUAGAUACCCGAGUAGUC
rnacentral:rRNA from 1 species